AAAAAGGUAAGCUAAUGAAGCUUUUGGGUUCAUACCCCAACUAUGGAAGAUUUCCUAUUCCCCUUUUUG
rnacentral:tRNA from 1 species